GUGACAGCAGCCGCGGUAAUACGGAGGGUGCAAGCGUUAUCCGGAUUUAUUGGGUUUAAAGGGUGCGUAGGCGGUAAUAUAAGUCAGUGGUGAAAUCCUGCAGCUCAACUGUAGAACAGUCAUUGAAACUGCAUUACUUGAGUAAUAUUGAGGUAGGCGGAAUGUGUAGUGUAGCGGUGAAAUGCUUAGAUAUUACACAGAACACCGAUUGCGAAGGCAGCUUACUAAGGAUUUACUGACGCUGAUGCACGAAAGCGUGGGGAUCAAACAGGAUUAGAUACCCCGGUAGUCC
rnacentral:rRNA from 1 species